rnacentral:rRNA from 1 species
AACGCGAAGAACCUUACCUACUCUUGACAUGUACGGAACCUCAGUGAGAGCUGAGGGUGCUCGAAAGAGAGCCGUAACACAGGUGCUGCAUGGCUGUCGUCAGCUCGUGUCGUGAGAUGUUGGGUUAAGUCCCGCAACGAGCGCAACCCUUGUCAUUAAUUGCCAUCAUUUAGUUGGGCACUUUAAUGAGACUGCCGGUGACAAACCGGAGGAAGGUGGGGAUGACGUCAAGUCCUCAUGGCCCUUAUGAGUAGGGCUUCACACGUCAUACAAUGGUCGGUACAGAGGGUCGCCAACCCGCGAGGGGGAGCCAAUCCAAGAAAGCCGAUCGUAGUCCGGAUUGCAGUCUGCAACUCGACUGCAUGAAGUCGGAAUCGCUAGUAAUCGCGGAUCAGCAUGUCGCGGUGAAUACGUUCCCGGGCCUUGUACACACCGGAGUGC